rnacentral:lncRNA from 1 species
GGGAGAGAGGAGAAAAAGCAAAGAGAGGAGAGAGAGAUGAGAAGCACAGUGAUUGUGCGGUGUUUGUGACAUCAGCAGGACGAGCUACAAAGAGGGGUGUGACAGGAGACCAUGGAAGAGGCAGUAGGUCUUCAGUGACUAUAUAUAUGAGGCACACAUCUCAUAAGGACCAUGGCUCAGGAGAGCAUGCAGCAGAGUGCAGAGCAGCUGAGUCUGAGCUUUGAGUAGGCUGAAGGCAGCUUCAGAGGCAGCACAGCAUGUUCAGAAAUCUGCAGUGUGGAAGAGAUGCACAACAGCUUCCACCUCAACUGCCUGCAGACCUGACCCUGUCUGCUCUUUGGCAAAAUACCAAAGCACUGAUGUUUCAAAAGGCACAAUCUUUAAGCAAGAAAAGAACUACUUAUGGCAUGAAAACUGAUUCCUAUUGUAACUUCAGUAUUCUCAAGCCUACGUUAUUUCCACUGAGUCUUCUCUCUGAAGAGAUAACAGAGUGCAUAUCAAGGGUACUGCCUUGUCUUCUGAUGAGUAGAGAGGAAUGGGCAUUGAAUGCACACCAUUGUAGCUCUUUUAGAGCAUGGCAGCAAUAA